rnacentral:lncRNA from 1 species
CCUCAUCUUCUCUAUGAAGUUAUGAACUCGACUUAAUAACACUCCAGCGAUGUAGGAUGCUGCUUCUCUCCUCUCAUCCUCACAAAAACAUUCUAAACUCCUGCACUACUGCCCACAAAGUCCCCAAUGGUCCCUCACAGUGCUGGGCUGGUUGGUGGAUUAUAUUGAUGAAUUUUUCUAUACUGAACCAUCCCUACAUCCCUGGGAAGAAGUCUACUAGUUCAUGAUGCACUCAUCAAAUUAUGAGGCUACAAGCAGUUGAUGUAAGGUGGAGAGUCUUAAGUUGUAUGAAAUGAUUCAGCCAUCCAUAUCACAGAGCUACAGCUGGGCCACACUCUGAGGCUGGAGAAAGUGAUUCCAGCAAUCAGGAUGGAUUUGUUCUGUAAAGUAUCAGCUCUCAUUCUCUGAACAGAUGCUCUACAAACAUAUGAACAUCUCUUCUAUAAACGGAAAGUACUUCUGUGGAAUUGGGAGGAAGAAUUUAAUUACAGCUUGGAGCCAACCCUGUGCACCACAGGGAGUACUGCCUGCAUUUGCAAAAUGCACACUCCACUCCCAUGCACUCUGCUACAAAAUGCCUCGUUUGGCCAACAGAGAGCAAGCACAUG